rnacentral:snoRNA from 1 species
UGGACACUAGGUUUUCUUUCAGUUUCUCCUCUAUGUGGGGAAAACUGUACAAGUGUCCUAUAGUAACACAGAAGCUAUCUGUUCAACUCUGAUGAGUUAAUGGGGUUGGAUCGUUCCACUUCUGACAGCU